ACAUCCCUCAUGCCCGGCCCGGAGCGAGAUCCCGUCUAAUAAUAGGCCGCGCCACACGGCCGCUGCCACACGGACCGCAGGAGAUAUUCUCUAACGUUCACGCUACUGUUUUUUGGUGUACAUUCCACUCAGCCUGUACAUCACCACCGAACCGCUGCAUCCAUCCAUGCAUUCCGCGGUAUAACUGAAGAAAAGAUCAAGAUAGUUCCACUUUCCCUGCUUGUUGGUCCUUCAGCAGGUGAUGGAGCACGUGACACUGUUGCCGCCCAUACCGCAUCGGUACUGUCGGUUAGGUCCUCAUAUCCAGCGCCUAGGUCAAGGAAGGGACAUGGAGCGUCUGGAUGUGUGCUGCAUCUAGCCGACUGUUGAGGCGCUUUAGAAAA